UACGUAGGGGGCAAGCGUUGUCCGGAAUCAUUGGGCGUAAAGAGCGUGUAGGCGGUCCGUUAAGUCGGCUGUGAAAGUCCAAGGCUCAACCUUGGGAUGCCGGUCGAUACUGCCGGACUAGAGUUCGGAAGAGGCGAGUGGAAUUCCUGGUGUAGCGGUGGAAUGCGCAGAUAUCAGGAGGAACACCAAUAGCGAAGGCAGCUCGCUGGGACGGUACUGACGCUAAGGCGCGAAAGCGUGGGGAGCAAACAGG
rnacentral:rRNA from 1 species